AAUGAACGUUGGCGGCGUGGAUUAGGCAUGCAAGUCGUACGGACCGUGGUAGCAAUAUUACGGUUAGUGGCGCAAGGGAGAGUAAUACGUAGGUAUUUACCCUGGGGUCUGGGAUAGCGGCGGGAAACUGCCGGUAAUACCAGAUGAUAUCUCCGGAUCAAAGGUGUGAUUCCGCCCUAGGAGAAGCCUGCGGUCUAUCAGCUAGUUGGUAGGGUAACGGCCUACCAAGGCAAAGACGGAUAUGGGGCGUGAGAGCGUGCCCCCACUCACUGGGACUGAGACACUGCCCAGACACCUACGGGUGGCUGCAGUCGAGAAUCUUCGGCAAUGGGCGCAAGCCUGACCGAACGACGCCGCGUGCGGGAUGAAGGCCUUCGGGUUGUAAACCGCUGUCGAAGGGGAGGAAAUUGUAGUGGGUUCACCCAUUAUAUUGACCGAUCCUUGGAGGAAGGGCCGGCUAAUCUCGUGCCAGCAGCCGCCGUAA
rnacentral:rRNA from 1 species